rnacentral:SRP_RNA from 2 species
GCCAGGAGUGGUGGCUCACACCUGUAAUCCUGGUACUUUGGGAGGCCAAGGCAGGAGGAUCCCUUGAGCCCAGGAGUUCGAGACCAGCCUGGGCAACAUAGGGAGACCCUGUCUCUU